rnacentral:rRNA from 1 species
AGAUUGAACGCUGGCGGCAUGCCUAACACAUGCAAGUCGAACGGGAGUAGCAAUACUCUAGUGGCGGACGGGUGAGGAAUACGUAGGAAUUUGCCCUCAAGUGGGGGAUAACCCGGGGAAACCCGGAUUAAUACCGCAUGACCUCGAAAGAGCAAAGUGGGGGAUCGCAAGACCUCACGCUUUUGGAGAAGCCUACGUCGGAUUAGCUAGUUGGUGAGGUAAUGGCUCACCAAGGCGACGAUCCGUAACUGGUCUGAGAGGAUGAUCAGUCACACCGGAACUGAGACACGGUCCGGACUCCGUACGGGAGGCAGCAGUGGGGAAUAGUUGGACAAGUGGGCGCAAGCCUGAUCCAGCAAGUGCCGCGUGUGUAGAAGGAGGUCCUUCGGGUUAGUAAAGCUAACGUUUAAGGUUAGG